rnacentral:rRNA from 1 species
UCUUGGUCAAUUAGAGGAAGUAAAAGUCGUAACAAGGUUUCCGUAGGUGAACCUGCGGAAGGAUCAUUAGUGAAUAAACAAGUGCAGGUUGUGCUGGCCUUCUUGGUAUGUGCACGCCUGCCAACGUUUCAUUCUAUCUUCCCACCUGUGCACUUUGUGUAGAUUCUGUAUGCUACUGUCAGGCCUUUAUUGAGCUUGGUUGAGAGGAGUUGCUUGUUUUCACAGACAAGCUCUCCUUGGGCAURCAGGUCUAUGUUUAUAUCAACACCAUAUGAAUGUUAUAGAAUGUGCUUUGGGCUUUUUGGCCUUUAAAAUUAUAUACAACUUUCAACAACGGAUCUCUUGGCUCUCGCAUCGAUGAAGAACGCAGCGAAAUGCGAUAAGUAAUGUGAAUUGCAGAAUUCAGUGAAUCAUCGAAUCUUUGAACGCACCUUGCGCUCCUUGGCAUUCCGAGGAGCAUGCCUGUUUGAGUGUCAUUAAAUUCUCAAUCCCUACAAUCUUGUGUUGUCAGGUGAUUGGAUUGUGGGGGCUUGCUGGCCUUGUUCAGCUCCCCUUAAAAGCAUUAGCAGGACAUUAUGCCAUCUGUGCUUUGUAUGAUAUUUAUCUAUACACUGUACUUGUUGUGCACAACUGCUUCCAACUGUCACAUCUGACAUUUGACCAAUUUGACCUCAAAUCAGGUAGGACUACCCGCUGAACUUAAGCAUAUCAAUA